UACGAAGGGGCUAGCGUUGCUCGGAAUCACUGGGCGUAAAGGGUGCGUAGGCGGGUCUUUAAGUCAGGGGUGAAAUCCUGGAGCUCAACUCCAGAACUGCCUUUGAUACUGAAGAUCUUGAGUUCGGGAGAGGUGAGGUGGAACUGCGAGUGUAGAGGUGAAAUUCGUAGAUAUUCGCAAGAACACCAGUGGCGAAGGCGGCUCACUGGCCCGAUACUGACGCUGAGGCACGAAAGCGUGGGGAGCAAAGCAGG
rnacentral:rRNA from 1 species